AAUUGGUUUAAUCUCAGCUGGCAACUGUGCGAUAUUCAUACAAUCCCCCACAGUGGUCUCUGGGAUUAUGCCAAAC
rfam:Erinaceus europaeus unplaced genomic scaffold scaffold00269, whole genome shotgun sequence